AGAAUCAACGCUGGCGGCGUGCCUAACACAUGCAAGUCGAACGAGAAAGUGGGAGCAAUCCCAUGAGUAAAGUGGCGCACGGGUGAGUAACACGUGACUAACCUACCCUUGAGUGGGGGAUAACCUAGGGAAACCUGGGCUAAUACCGCAUAAUACCUACGGGUCAAAGGAGCAAUUCGCUUUAGGAGGGGGUCGCGGCAGAUUAGUUAGUUGGCGGGGUAAUGGCCCACCAAGACAGUGAUCUGUAUCCGGCCUGAGAGGGCGCACGGACACACUGGAACUGAAACACGGUCCAGACUCCUACGGGAGGCAGCAGUGGGGAAUUUGCGCAAUGGGGGAAACCCUGACGCAGCAACGCCGCGUGGAGGAUGAAGCCCCUUGGGGCGUAAACUCCUUUCGAUCGGGAAGAUAAUGACGGUACCGGAAGAAGAAGCCCCGGCUAACUUCGUGCCAGCAGCCGC
rnacentral:rRNA from 1 species